CAGGGGACCAUCUCCUCUGCCCAACCCUGAGCAGAAUGUUCAAAGAUGAUUUUGAAUGGAUGGCUGAGAUACCGGAACAAAAGUGAAUUAUGAGAUCUGUCUCAACAAAGGUUUUCAUAGAACUUUAUUUAUGACUGGGCGUUCUGGAAAGAACUCGGGACAUGUCCUGGGUUUUGAUUAACCCUGCUGCUCUUAGCUGUCGGCAACUCCGCGUGGCCCUGCAGCUAGCAUAUCCGCUGUAAAUAAGUAUUUGCCCAACUAGGCUACGUGGGAGGAUAUUGAGAAAAUGAAGGCAGCCCCUUUUUGUAUCCCCGAUCAUGUUGGGAAGAUAAAAAAUGCAAGGUUUCCAUUUUCUCCUCUGCAAAACUGAAGGAGUUGGACCAGCUGGCCUCUGAGUUCCUUCUAAUUCUAGCUGUGUGAUGCUGUACAACACAAGGAAUAGUAGCAAUCAAGAGUAGAUCUGAGAUUUUGCUGCUAUGGAGAACUCCAGAGUGAAGCACCUACUUCAUCCACUGGAGAUCAAUAUUUUUGCUGCAAAAACAUCAUCUAAGGGAGUUGCUUGGGGAUAUUGACAGCCUGGCAGCACCUGCCAAGGGAGACAUAUGGAUAUGGUUGGCCAGCCCCACCAGGCCCAGUAGAAAACACCCAGAGGUUUGUGCUCCAAAAUACAAUCAAACCCUCCCAAUUAUUCUCUUGUCUCAAGCCCCCUUUCAACACAAAGUGAAUAGUUGGCUUGCAGAAUUAUUUUCAAACAUAUCCACCCACAUCCAUGUGGAGGAGGGUUUAGGCUUCUCCCCUGCAGGAAUUAAGUUUUAUUUCAACUGAGGACAUCUAGCCUCACUGAUUAGACUGUGGCCUCUGAGGACCCUCUCAGUAGUCCAGCUCCCCUCC
rnacentral:lncRNA from 1 species